UCUGACCUGGACUGGCCUGAGGCUAUUUGAAGUCUUUGUUAGCCCCCUUUCUGAGAGUAUGUGUUCAUUUCACAGUCAAAAUAUACACGUUUAUUAGGGAGAACUGCCCAGCCCCCACCGAGGGGUGUGGGACACAGGAUUGAGUGCUCUCUUACCUCCCUGAAGAACCACAAAGUCUGACUCUGUGGCACUUCUCUGUCCCUAAGUUUCCAAUCGGGGACUCAGACCUCUACUACAUGUCCUGUAGCUGCCGGUGCCCUGUGUGGCUAUAGAUAUUUACAUGUGUGGGUGGGUGGAGGGCAGUCAAAAAUUACAGACAAAGCUGCUCAAAAGGCCGCAGAACUUUACAAAACUUCGGAUAACUCGGUCCCUGUUCUACGGUUUCCCAACUGUGUCUUCCACCAGACCUGAAGACUUGUGGCCGUACUUCUCUCCCUGUUCUUUUAUACUGUGGGUACACAUCAACAUCGCUUUCUCCCCCAUGUCCUAAGGCCUCUCUAGAACCUUCUCUCUAAGCUAUAGGACUAAGUUAAUGAGAACAGAUUCACAGGCAUGACUUCAUCCUUCCAUCCAAAGUCCUCUGGACUCAGUGGGUUUCUCACUUCUGGGACACUGCAUCCUGUCACCUGCCAUCUCAGCAUCCCCAGGGACACACGUGAAGCUGACAGCUCCUUCAUGUACAUGAGCUCCCACCCUGGAGGCCGGUCACCGAGGGCCUUUGAGGACAAACUGGAGUUUCCAAAGGCCAGAGCUGCAAGCUUCACAGACACAGCUGCAGCCAGGCACCCAGGUGACCAGUUAUCUGCUGCUGCAGCUGGACCAGUUGGACUGUGGUGACGGCAAAGCCAGGCUUGGCCUUUGCUCCACCACCUGGAGCUUUAGAGCCCACGAUCCCUUCAGAAAUCAGUGGCCGCUCUUCCAAGGACUGGGUUUCGAUGCUUCCCUCAGAGGAAAGAAACCUCCCAAGCUGGAGGGUGAUGCUCUUGAGGGCUCAGCUGCCUUAAGUGCCCAGAAACAGAAGAUUAUCAAAAGAAAACUGCUCUUCAACAAGUGGAGGAUAACAUGCAAUUUCCCCAGCCUUCAGCUGAGGGUGCUGAG